GAUACGACUAGGUUGUACGUGU
rnacentral:miRNA from 1 species